rnacentral:rRNA from 1 species
CGCGUAGGCGGGAUGGCAAGUCGGUCGUGAAAUCCCUCGGCUCAACCGAGGAGCGUCGAUCGAUACUGCCGUUCUUGAGGGUUGCAGAGGAGACUGGAAUCCCCGGUGUAGCGGUGAAAUGUGUAGAGAUCGGGAGGAACACCGGUGGCGAAGGCGGGUCUCUGGGCAACUCCUGACGCUGAGGCGCGAAAGCGUGGGAGCAAACG